GACAGAGGAUGCAAGCGUUAUCCGGAAUGAUUGGGCGUAAAGCGUCUGUAGGUGGCUUUUUAAGUCUGCCGUCAAAUCCCAGGGCUUAACCCUGGACAGGCGGUGGAAACUACCAAGCUGGAGUACGGUAGGGGCAGAGGGAAUUUCCGGUGGAGCGGUGAAAUGCGUAGAGAUCAGGAAGAACACCGGUGGCGAAAGCGCUCUGCUAGGCCGCAACUGACACUGAGGAGCGAAAGCAUGGGGAGCGAACAGG
rnacentral:rRNA from 1 species